GUGGGGAAUAUUGGACAAUGGGCGAAAGCCUGAUCCAGCAAUGCCGCGUGAGUGAUGAAGGCCCUAGGGUUGUAAAGCUCUUUUACCCGGGAUGAUAAUGACAGUACCGGGAGAAUAAGCUCCGGCUAACUCCGUGCCAGCAGCCGCGGUAAUACGGAGGGAGCUAGCGUUGUUCGGAAUUACUGGGCGUAAAGCGCGCGUAGGCGGUUUUCCAAGUCAGGGGUGAAAGCCCGGGGCUCAACCCCGGAAUAGCCCUUGAAACUGGAAGACUAGAAUCUUGGAGAGGUCAGUGGAAUUCCGAGUGUAGAGGUGAAAUUCGUAGAUAUUCGGAAGAACACCAGUGGCGAAGGCGACUGACUGGACAAGUAUUGACGCUGAGGUGCGAAAGCGUGGGGAGCAAACAGGAUUAGAAACCCGUGUAGUCC
rnacentral:rRNA from 1 species